AAUCUAGAAUGUUUAAACCUUCACUCAAAGUAAAAGUUAAUCCAUGACACAACCAUAGCAGAAUCCCCUGCACUAAAAUAAGUUUUAAAAUGUGUACAACACAAUACCAUCUAAGCCUAGUACUUACUCAGUAUAUGGAACUGAAGAUGAUAAUAAUUUUCUCCUACCAGCAAAAAGCAUAGUCCCUUUAUGAUCGCAUAUAACAAAGCCCAC
rnacentral:lncRNA from 1 species